GCACUCAGAGUCUUGCUACUGUUUACCCUUAUUGCUAGUUACUGUUUAUCCUUAUUGCUAGUUAUCUUAGCUUUGUUGAGAAAAUUUUUGCAGUGGACUUGGUAGCCCUUGUUACCAACUUUGAUAUAAGACGAAUUAGAAUGAGUUCCAUGUUUGACUCUUUACCCUUGCUUCAGCCAAAAUGUAACUCUGUUACAAUGUUAACUGGUACAUUGAUAGGGCAUCAUCAAAAUUUGAUGGGCUUGGGAUGGUGACCCAUCCUGAAGAUUGAAUCCGUUGUUUAAAAACUUUUGGUUUAGGGAACAUUUCCACGUAACUUCAGUUAGAAGAAUAGAUGCCUGAUGAUACAU
rnacentral:misc_RNA from 1 species